rnacentral:lncRNA from 1 species
ACACGUUAAAAUAAAAGCCAAGGUUAAUCAAAACAAUUUGAACGCUAGCAAAAUAAACUAGGAAUAAAACAUUUUAAAAACAUACUUAAGUAUGGUUAAUCGUAAAGGAAAAGUAUGAUAAAAUAUAGAUUCUGUUCAUGUUUCCAUGGUCUUCCCAUCACUACACCAUUUUAAAUAAACCAUUUAAAUGAUUUGUGGAAAUAAACUACAGUAAGUUUAGUAAAGAUAAAUUGCAAACACAAAAUCCGUGUCAGAAAGAGGCGUGACAAUGAACUCAUCGCCUCCAGACACACGAGCUGACCGAGUCCAGAUAUCGCCGACUGCCACGCCCACCUGCUCCCACACCAGACCAGCCUCAUGCACUUAUGGAUGCAAGGAGCCACGUUCUGCCGAACAUUUUUCUUUCUCGCUCCCUGGACUGGCAACUCCUUAAUGUGUUUACGGGUGGAGCUCGAAUAGUGCAAUUUGCUCUUGUGUUUCUCUGAUUCCCCUUGAUGACAGUGAGGUUUUGGGGAGAAAGCAGCUUAAGUGAGUUCAUUUUCAAAGUGCUCUCUUACUGCCAUAUAAACAAAUAAAUGUCUUCCUGCCAUUUAUUUUGUGCUCCAAUGCUCUUAGACAUUUUUAUUUUGUUUUUUGCUUCUUCCCUCUCUCCAAGCCAGGCUUCAUUAUUUUCUGCAGAGGCCUAUGUGAUACUGUUUCACCACCCCGUCUCCUAGGAAGAAUUAACAGUUGUGGAAGAGUGAGCUUGGCCAACACAGACCUGUUUCCGACAGUGAGGAGAAAAACAGAUGCACAGACAAGAAGAAUGCACUGCUCUUGCUGGACUGCGGCCGAACUAAAUCAAACCACACCUUGUGCACAGACACACUCCCACAUCCUCGCUCAUCCUCGGCUGCUCAGUCAUUCUCUCUCCACAGUGUGCUCUGCCCAGCGCCAUCCAUCUGCUCUCUGCCUGGCAGCCCCUCCGCUCCCUGAUGACCUCUCAGGUAUGAAAAAUGGUUCAAUUAAUCUUGUAAACAUACAGGCCUCGCUUGCUGUAAAACACUAAUUUAUACCAGCCUGUUUAAUUAAGCUAGCUUUUUAGAUGGAUUCACUCAUGUUGUCCUGAGGGAAUUGGCUGUUUUAUGACACAUUUCACUCAAUCCCAUCAACACUCAGUGCCGUCUCUGUUCCCAGGGCAGGUAUCCUGCUGGUGCACAGUGCUCACUGCUGC